AGAGAGAGAGAGAGAGAGAGAGAGAGAGAGAGAGAGAGAGAGAGAGAGAGAGAGAGAGAGAGAGAGAGAGAGAGAGAGAUUGAGUUGACGGUUUUUAGAGGUUGAUGAUGAUGAUGAUGAUGAGUGUGAAUGUUCAAGGGCUUUGAAAUUUGAGAAGUGAACUGUGAAUGAAUUCAGGGUCAAAAUGAGAAAAUAUGGAGAGAUUGUAGCUAGCAAUGAUUUGGUGGUUAUAUAGUUGUUAUUGGCUUGGGGAUUGAUGCAAAGUUAGUUAUGAUAUUAUGGGGAUUUGUGAAAAUCAGUUGGUGAAGUUGUGAAGUCGAGGCAGUGUUAGUUAGUAUAUGAAAUGUUAGUUAGGUUUAGUUUUGAUGAUGUCGGAUUAGUUGGUUAUUGAAGUCAGGUGAUGAUAGGUUAAUUCUGUUAGGAUUGAGUUCAAUUAAGUUAGUUGAAAUGUGAUAGGUUAAUUGGCUAGGUUAGCUUGAAUCGUGUUAGGCCUAUUGUUCAGUUGGAAUGUGGUUUGGUAGAUGGUAUUUAUGCUAUGAUGUUGAUGUCUGCAUCGGAUGGUUACUAUGGUUGAUAUGUUGUAGGUUUUUUGUUACAAUGUUCAUAUAUGAUAUGGUUCAGGUUUACAAGAUGGCUGGCUCGAUUUUAGGAAAUGGUUGCAUGUUGCAGGAUUAUAGGAUGCUUAUGUCUGCUGCAGAAUGGCUUGAUGGUUUACUGUGGUGGUUUUGCCUCGCUCAUGCAUAACUUAGUCUUGGCAAGGUUGGUUGCAAUGUCCUGUAGCAGGUUGGACUGCUCAUUGCAGGAUUAAUUAAAGUUGUAUGUUGGUAACAUGACAUUGGUUUGGUACUUAUUGCAUAGAAGGUCCUAUAAGGUGAGAUGCUUGGCUCAUCAUGCAGCAAAGUUAUGAAUGAUUGGCAGCUAGCUUCCGUAUGUACAUUGACAUUGCAGCUUAGAUGAUCUGCCUUGAAUUUAUGCAGCUCUGUGUUGUGUAUUGAUUAGCUUUAUUCAGCUGCUACUAAACUGACUUUGUGUGCGUGUCUAGUAAUGCCACUGACUUGCUUUGACAUUAUUGAUGUUCCAUGUUCAAUAUAGCUGCAGAGUUUGUGUUUGGCUACUGCAUUUAUGAUGCUAGGCAUGUGUGUUUGGACAUGGUUCAGGGGUUGGUUACAUCAUGUUUCUAUAGGCAAUGUGUUGCAGAAUUUGCACAAUUGGUGAGGUUCUUUGGAUUAUUGUUAUGUCUUUGGUUUGCCACUACUGUUUUGUUGGUGUUUGAUAACAGGUUAUGUGAAUGGCAUGAUGUGCUGUAGUGCUUGAAGCAGGUUCAACAAGGUCUUUUUGCAAGUGUAAUGCUUUAUGACUUGCAUUGGUUCAUGUUUGGCAUGACUUGGUUGGUUCUUGUAGGAUGCUAGGCAAGUUUGCUUGUUCAUGAAGCAACCUUGGUCAUGAAGUUGGAAUGGAAGAUGGGACAAAUUAGGAAUUAACAUGAAGAGAAUAUGAUUAGGCUUAGAGAAUAUGUGAGUUGACUUUGGUCAAAGUUGACCAAAGUCAACCUUUGGUCAAAGUGCCAUUUUUUGUAAUUUAUUUGUAUGUAUGGACAUUCUUAUGAUUUGUAAUGAAUAUGAUAUUUGGUAUGAAUGGAAAUUGUUGUUUUGUAUGAA